rnacentral:rRNA from 1 species
GACGAACGCUGGCGGCGUGCUUAACACAUGCAAGUCGAACGGAAAGGCCCUGCUUUUGUGGGGUGCUCGAGUGGCGAACGGGUGAGUAACACGUGAGUAACCUGCCCUUGACUUUGGGAUAACUUCAGGAAACUGGGGCUAAUACCGGAUAGGAGCUCCUGCUGCAUGGUGGGGGUUGGAAAGUUUCGGCGGUUGGGGAUGGACUCGCGGCGUAUCAGCUUGUUGGUGGGGUAGUGGCUUACCAAGGCUUUGACGGGUAGCCGGCCUGAGAGGGUGACCGGCCACAUUGGGACUGAGAUACGGCCCAGACUCCUACGGGAGGCAGCAGUGGGGAAUAUUACACAAUGGGCGGAAGCCUGAUGCAGCAACGCCGCGUGCGGGAUGACGGCCUUCGGGUUGUAAACCGCUUUCGCCUGUGACGAAGCGUGAGUGACGGUAAUGGGUAAAGAAGCACCGGCUAACUACGUG